rnacentral:rRNA from 1 species
UACAGAGGUCUCAAGCGUUGUUCGGAUUCAUUGGGCGUAAAGGGUGCGUAGGUGGCACCGUAAGUCAGGUGUGAAAUCUCGGAGCUCAACUCCGAAACUGCACUUGAUACUGCGGUGCUCGAGUACUGGAGAGGAGAUUGGAAUUUACGGUGUAGCAGUGAAAUGCGUAGAUAUCGUAAGGAAGACCAGUGGCGAAGGCGAAUCUCUGGACAGUUACUGACACUGAGGCACGAAGGCCAGGGGAGCAAAACGGG